AUCACGACGGUGGUCCCGACCUACUUCACGACGGUGCCGUUGCCGGAGAGGUGGAGGUGGUCCCUCUCUGCUUCACGACGGUGCCAUCGUCGGAGAGGCGGAGGCGAUCCCCAGAGAAGAUCCAUUGGUCGACGGGCUCAGCCGUCCAUGACUCAGAGAUGACAACGCAGGAGGAGAUCACAUGGUAGAGGAAGGGGGUUUGAAGG
rnacentral:lncRNA from 1 species